AGUAACACGUGAGUAAUCUGCCCCAGGCUCUGGGAUAGCCACCGGAAACGGUGAUUAAUACCGGAUACGACAACCGAUUGCAUGAUCUGGUUGUGGAAAGUUUAUCGGCCUGGGAUGUGCUCGCGGCCUAUCAGCUUGUUGGUGAGGUAAUGGCUCACCAAGGCUUCGACGGGUAGCCGGCCUGAGAGGGUGACCGGCCACACUGGGACUGAGACACGGCCCAGACUCCUACGGGAGGCAGCAGUGGGGAAUAUUGGACAAUGGGCGGAAGCCUGAUCCAGCAACGCCGCGUGAGGGAUGACGGCCUUCGGGUUGUAAACCUCUUUCAGCACAGACGAAGCGCAAGUGACGGUAUGUGCAGAAGAAGGACCGGCCA
rnacentral:rRNA from 1 species